GCCGAGUGAGUCGACUGGUGUCGACGUCCGACUGUCGAUCGGAAUCAGGCGAGUUCGAUCCUCGUACUCGGCG
rnacentral:tRNA from 1 species